AAUCAACGCUGGCGGCGCGCUUAACACAUGCAAGUCGCACGAGAAAGGGAGCAAUCCUGAGUAAGGUGGCGUACGGGUGAGUAACACGUGGGAAUCUACCUCUUGGCGGGGAAUAACCCUGGGAAACCGGGGCUAAUACCGCAUAAGCUCGUGAGAGGAAAGCAGCAAUGCACCGAGAGAGGAGCCCGCGGCCGAUUAGCUAGUUGGUGGGGUAAUGGCUCACCAAGGCGAAGAUCGGUAGCCGGCCUGAGAGGGCACACGGCCACACUGGCACUGAAACACGGGCCAGACUCCUACGGGAGGCAGCAGUGGGGAAUCUUGCACAAUGGGGGAAACCCUGAUGCAGCGACGCCGCGUGAGCGAUGAAGCCCUUCGGGGUGUAAAGCUCUUUCGACAGGAACGAUAAUGACGGUACCUGGAGAAGAAGCUGCGGCUAACUACGUG
rnacentral:rRNA from 1 species